CUCUCUAGAAAUCACACAAACAUCACUUAAAACUCAACCAAUUUUAAGCACUCUUUCCUUCUUUGUGAUCCACCAAAACCAAAGGCCAAAAAUAAGGUUGUUGCCUUCGGGUUUUCAUCCUCCAUUUUAGCCCCUUGCACCUUCAUUUUGCUUGGUAUUUUCACCUACAUUUACGUCUGAAUGUUAGUUGAUUUGGUGCAUUAAAAUGGGUACUCAAAACAAUAGCUAGGCUGUUCUUUUUCUUGCUUCUUUGCUGGAAAUUCUGAGCCAUACACAACCAAAACAGUGGCUGUUUUCAAGCACCAAAAUAACCCAAAAACAUCUUCAUUUUUCUGCCCAUUUUCGAGAUCUAAACAUCCCCAUAACAUGCUGAUUUCAAGUGUCUAUAAACCCAAGAAAACCUUCAUCGUGUUCCUUAAAAUCAUUGUAUCUCAACACUCUUUUUGGUAACACACGUCUAGAUCCAAGAAUAAGCAAGACAUCCCAAAAAUCAUUCAAAUCUCAAGCUUCGUUGGAACCGGAAACUUCAAGGAUCUUUCUAAUAACGUUACGCGACAAAAGGAAAUAGAAGCUGGAUAAUAAGCCUCACGACUUGGAAUAACCUUUCUUGGCUAACCUAUUAAGGCCUUUUUGUUUUUGUUACAUUAUGACUUGCUAAACUUUUUUUUGUAAACUUGUAUUUUGAAGUUUGAAUCAAUGAAAUCCUUGUAUACAAAUCUAUGAAGACAUGUAAUGUUAUUCAAAUCUUGUAUUGUUCAAUGUAUUUUUGUUAACUGUGAUCUAAUUUUCAAGGUCGCAACCUCGGUGCGUCCACCGCUGGCCAGGGUGUGACAUCAACUCACAAGGUUCAGAUGGAAACCAAGAUGAAGAUAAAUAUGUUGAAGGGUUAAUGGACUUAAAUAAGUAGACGAUGACACUGAAUAAAAUUGAAGCUGAAAUCAUCCCAUAACUCGAUUGGGUUACAAGAAUCGGAGCUAAAAUCAAUACUGAAUCAAGAAGAUAGUGUGUGUGUAUGUGUAUGUUAUGUUAUUGGUUCACCGAAAUCCAUUAUUCCUCUCUUCUACCAGAAUCAGAGCUGAUCUAAUUCACAUUUCAAAGAGUAAUGAAGUGAAGAAGGUGAUGUUGCGUUGAUGAACAAGUAUGGUCAAGGUUAUGAUGAACAACCAAAGGCGAUGAUGGUGAUGGUAAUUGGUGGUGGCAGAGGGUGAUGUUCAUAAAGACGUUCUUAUGUGUGUGGUUUUUCAAGAUCUUACUGAGUGUGUAUGUAUGUGUGUUCAUAAAGAACAAAUCCAAAUGGGUGGAGAUAGAUAGAUAGAUAGAUAGAUAGAUAGAUAUAUAGAUAAAGAGAGAGAAAGAAAGAAAGAAAGAGAAAGAGAGAGAAAGACCCCCUUCUUUCUACUAUCUAUUAAAUAUUAUAAAAAUAUUACAAAAAUUAUUUAAAUAACAAAAAUGAAU